rnacentral:lncRNA from 1 species
AAAUAUAGAUGUCAAGAUAAUUGAGUAAUUUAAGUACCAAAAUAAUUAGAAAAUUAAUAAAAAAUUAAUUUAUAUUUUUUAUUUUUUAGGCAUAAAAUUCAAGCAAAAAUAUCCAAAAAAUUAUUUUAAAAAGUCUUCGAUGCACAAUGGACUGACCGCUCGAUCCACAGAAUCAGCCACACAGUCCACAUCACAGUUUCACAGUCCUUGUCACGAUCCAUGGGGGAGCAACUGAGUUUUGCACGAUCGGAUAGUUGGGAUUGAUUUUUACAUGCGAUCGGAUGGUCGAGAAUGUGCUAUCCCAUAUUCAGUGGUGGUGGCCCACAUCCUCUGUGCAAUCCGAUGGUUUCAAGCAAUCUUGAGUGAGAUCAGAUGGUCGUAGUUCAUUAUCGAUGGAAAAACUAAAUUCAUCAUCCGAUCC